rnacentral:lncRNA from 1 species
AGGGGCGAAGCGGCGGCGGGCCGCGCCUCCCAGUCCCGCAUCCGGCGCGGUGGGUGUGCCCGCAGGGUGUGCACCCCGAGUCCUGGCCGAUCUCCCCGGCCAGAGGGCGCCUGGAGGCUGUGCGCGCCCCGGACAACCAGGGUGCGCCAGAGCGGGGUGCGCGCCCGGGACGCGGACCUGCACCCAGAGGCUGCGUGCGCCCCGAAGCCAGGGUGGGCGCCCCGCCGCGGGGCCCCAGGCACAGUGAGUCGCCUCCCACCGUACUUCCGCGGCUAGCCAAGAACUCUCCAGGAAUCUUACAGACUGAGCGAAUGAAGAGUGCCUGAGAGGCGGAGAGUCACAUUCCCUAAGAUGGAGAAGACAGAUGGUAGGCAGGGGGCUUUCUAUUCCCUGGUUUAAAGGGACACUUGGGUUGGAAUGGGAUAGUUACCAUAAAUCCUGGAAAUAGCCUAUGAGAGGCCUGUAGAAGACGUUCCCUAAACAG